rnacentral:rRNA from 1 species
UACGAAGGGGGCUAGCGUUGCUCGGAAUCACUGGGCGUAAAGCGUGCGUAGGCGGUUGAUUAAGUCUGCUGUGAAAGCCCUGGGCUCAACCUGGGAACUGCAGUGGAUACUGGUCAGCUAGAGUGUGAUAGAGGAUGGUGGAAUUCCCGGUGUAGCGGUGAAAUGCGUAGAGAUCGGGAGGAACACCAGUGGCGAAGGCGGCCAUCUGGAUCAACACUGACGCUGAGGCACGAAAGCGUGGGGAGCAAACAGG